GUUUAGUAAUGCACCGCUUAGCAGAGAUAGAAAACAAUGUUCAUUUGCUUCACCGCUGGCCUCUAGGAUCCUCAGCGGAGAUGCUGUUAUAAAUUUAUAUGAAAACCUAAUCCUCUUCUCUGCCAUACAGGUUUGGAGCCCCACUGAGACCUAUGCUGAGUGAGCCAUAAUUGCUAUGGCUGAGAUGAUGCAGCAUUUUUGCUGCUACAGAGAGGCACCAAAAUGCAGUGGAACAGAGAUACAAGAAAUGAUGAGACUGCAGGUUUCCGAGAGAUGUCAACACAGGAGAACUCCUGCACCUCACCAGGCCAAACUCAUUUACUGUUGCACUUUUAUCCCACUCUCUCUCAAACUGCCAAACUGAUCCGCUGCUGAUAUCCAAAGGGGAAUAUCAAGACAGCCGACAAGACGCCAUGGGAAAACGCCCUCGGUUAGUCAUCGUAGCUAUUCAUAUUAAUACAUUAUUAUUAGCUUUUCUUUAGCUUUAUAGAUUGCCUGGCUAAGAGCUAGAUUCAGACUUUUAGUGAGUCUGCAAAGCCUUGUCAUUAUCAAUCUAAUCUCUUUGCAUGACUUGCAGAGUGGACCACUUUUCCAUGACUGGGAGCUUGCAGAGUGCACUCAUACUCUGUGACAUUAUGAUUCAUAUUUGACUGGAACUGUCCCUGGACUCUUGUCUCUCCUUCCCCUGGAGGGGCCUGUAUUGAUGCAUGAAGAGCACUAAGUUCAGCUUGUUUGAUCUGCCCAGUCAAGGCUAUACAAUAGAGAACAGUUGCAUCCCAAUUCACCGGUCUCAUCUAUCUUUCACCCAAUGUUGUUUGUCACAUCCCCAGCAAAGCAGGCCAGUGAUUAUUUUUAUUGCCUUAUGUCACUGUAAUAAAUCAUGGUGAGCAGUAAGAAAAAGUGUCUCUGUAAUCACAUUGAUUUUGUAUGGACACCUUUAUAAGGGUAUCACUAUGCACAGUAUACACAAACUGUAUUCAUGUCAAUAAAUAAAGCACCUUAUCACUGGCAUCGCCAACCCUGGAUAAAAUAGGUUUUAAGCACGUUAGAGUGGUACACUCAACAAAUAAUGUCACUUUCAGACCGACAGGUUUCUUUCUCUACGUACACUACUAAACCCCUGUAAACAAUGAGUGACAUUCAGCUCUGACCUUUAAAGGGAGCCAUUGUUACGGUAAAGUUUAGCAUCAGCUGUUGACCGGCCGUGCUCUGCUCCAAACAAUGUCUCUGGAGUUGUGACAUUCAACAGUACAGAGCAGCUAACGCAGCUAUGAACACUCUGACACUAGCGUGACAUUUCCUCACACCAAUACAAGCUGUCAGAAA
rnacentral:lncRNA from 13 species